rnacentral:misc_RNA from 1 species
GGAAGUAAAAGUCGUAACAUGGUUUCCGUAGGUGAACCUGCGGAAGGAUCAUUAUUGUAUAACCGAGGUGCGAGGGCUGUCGCUGACCCGAAAGGUCGUGCACGCCCGAGUGCCCUCACACACAUCCAUCUCACCCCUAUGUGCACCACCGCGUGGGUCCCCCUUUGGCUUGUUCGGAGGGGGGCUUACGUUUUCACACAAACUUUGUAUGCAGUGUAGAAUGUAUUUUUUGUUUUUGCGAUCACGCAAUCAAUACAACUUUCAACAACGGACCUCUUGGCUCUC